rnacentral:rRNA from 1 species
UACAGAGGUGGCAAGCGUUGUUCGGAAUUACUGGGCGUAAAGGGCGCGUAGGCGGUCUUUUAAGUUCCGUGUGAAAUCCCCGAGCUCAACUCGGGAACUGCGUCCGAUACUGGUGGGCUUGAAUCCGGGAGAGGGAUGCGGAAUUCCAGGUGUAGCGGUGAAAUGCGUAGAUAUCUGGAGGAACACCGGUGGCGAAGGCGGCAUCCUGGACCGGCAUUGACGCUGAGGCGCGAAAGCUAGGGGAGCAAACGGG